rnacentral:rRNA from 1 species
GGCGAACGCUGGCGGCGUGCUUAAUACAUGCAAGUCGAACGGAAAGGCCCUGCUUUUGCGGGGUGCUCGAGUGGCGAACGGGUGAGUAACACGUGAGUAACCUGCCCUUGACUUUGGGAUAACUUCAGGAAACUGGGGCUAAUACCGGAUAGGAGCUCCUGCUGCAUGGUGGGGGUUGGAAAGUUUCGGCGGUUGGGGAUGGACUCGCGGCUUAUCAGCUUGUUGGUGGGGUAGUGGCUUACCAAGGCUUUGACGGGUAGCCGGCCUGAGAGGGUGACCGGCCACAUUGGGACUGAGAUACGGCCCAGACUCCUACGGGAGGCAGCAGUGGGGAAUAUUGCACAAUGGGCGGAAGCCUGAUGCAGCAACGCCGCGUGCGGGAUGACGGCCUUCGGGUUGUAAACCGCUUUCGCCUGUGACGAAGCGUGAGUGACGGUAAUGGGUAAAGAAGCACCGGCUAACUACGUG